GUAGGUGGCAAGCGUUGUCCGGAACUUAUUGGGGCGUAAAGCGCGCGCAGGCGGUUCUUUAAGUCUGAUGUGAAAGCCCCACGGCUCAACCGUGGAGGGUCAUUGGAAACUGGAGAACUUGAGUACAGAAGAGGAAAGCGGAAUUCCACGUGUAGCGGUGAAAUGCGUAGAGAUGUGGAGGAACGACCAGUGGCGAAGGCGGCUUUCUGGUCUGUAACUGACGCUGAGGCGCGAAAGCGUGGGGAGCAAACAGGGAUUAGAUACCCUGGUAGUCCACGCCGUAAACGAUGAGUGCUAAGUGUUAGGGGGUUUCCGCCCCUUAGUGCUGCAGCUAACGCAUUAAGCACUCCGCCUGGGGGAUACGGCCGCAAGGCUGA
rnacentral:rRNA from 1 species